rnacentral:rRNA from 1 species
GGCGUGCUUAACACAUGCAAGUCGAACGAUCCUUCGGGAUAGUGGCGGACGGGUGAGUAACGCGUGGGAAUCUGCCUCAGGAGGGGGAUAACGGCUGGAAACGGCCGCUAAUACCCCAUAUGCCGAGAGGUGAAAUGAAUUUCGCCUGAGGAUGAGCCCGCGUCUGAUUAGCUAGUUGGUGGGGUAAAGGCCUACCAAGGCAACGAUCAUUAGCUGGUCUGAGAGGAUGAUCAGCCACACUGGGACUGAGACACGGCCCAGACUCCUACGGGAGGCAGCAGUGGGGAAUUUUCCGCAAUGGGCGAAAGCCUGACUGAGCAACGCCGCGUGAGGGAUGAAGGCCUCUGGGCUGUAAACCUCUUUUCUCAAGGAAGAAGACCUGACGGUACUUGAGGAAUAAGCCACGGCUAAUUCCGUGCCAGCAGCCGCGGUAAUACGGGAGUGGCAAGCGUUAUCCGGAAUUAUUGGGCGUAAAGCGUCCGCAGGCGGCCUUGUAAGUCUGUUGUUAAAGCGUGGAGCUCAACUCCAUUUAAGCAAUGGAAACUACAAGGCUGGAGUGUGGUAGGGGCAGAGGGAAUUCCCGGUGUAGCGGUGAAAUGCGUAGAUAUCGGGAAGAACACCAGUGGCGAAGGCGCUCUGCUGGGCCAUAACUGACGCUCAUGGACGAAAGCCAGGUGAGCGAAAGGGAUUAGAUACCCCUGUAGUCCUGGCCGUAAACGAUGAACACUAGGUGUCGGGGGAAUCGACCCCCUCGGUGUCGUAGCCAACGCGUUAAGUGUUCCGCCUGGGGAGUACGCACGCAAGUGUGAAACUCAAAGGAAUUGACGGGGGCCCGCACAAGCGGUGGAGUAUGUGGUUUAAUUCGAUGCAACGCGAAGAACCUUACCAGGGUUUGACAUCCUGCGAACCCCUGAGAAAUCGGGGGGUGCCUUCGGGAGCGCAGAGACAGGUGGUGCAUGGCUGUCGUCAGCUCGUGUCGUGAGAUGUUGGGUUAAGUCUCGCAACGAGCGCAACCCACGUCUUUAGUUGCCAGCAUUCAGUUGGGCACUCUAGAGAGACCGCCGGUGAUAAACCGGAGGAAGGUGUGGAUGACGUCAAGUCAUCAUGCCCCUUACAUCCUGGGCUACACACGUACUACAAUGCUACGGACAAAGGGCAGCAAGCUCGCGAGAGUUAGCAAAUCCCAUAAACCGUGGCUCAGUUCAGAUCGUAGGCUGCAACUCGCCUACGUGAAGGAGGAAUCGCUAGUAAUCGCAGGUCAGCAUACUGCGGUGAAUACGUUCCCGGGCCUUGUACACACCGCCCGUCACACCAUGGAAGUUGGCCAUGCCCGAAGUCGUUACUCCAACCCUUGUGGAGGAGGACGCCGAAGGUGGGGCUGAUGACUGGGGUGAAGUCGUAACAAGGUA